rnacentral:rRNA from 1 species
CAACACCCGAAGCCGGUGGCCAACCCUUGUGGUAGGGAGCCGUCGAAGGUGGGGCUCGGCGAUUGGGCGAAGUCGUAAACAAGGUACC